AGGCUUUUCUACCAGAGCCCGGCUGUCUCCAGGGAGGUUCUCUGCAGCUGCUCCUUGUGAAGUGUUCCUCCUCACUGAAUGGAAGAGGAGGCCUUCUGGGCAGUCCUGCACACUCUGCACCCUCACCUGGGCUGCCUGCAGGGGCCCGGUUCCUGGUCGAGGGUCAGAGCUACCAUCCCUCGGUGACCUGAGGGGCCUGGGAGAGGAGGAUUGACCUUGGUCUCUGACUCCGGGAAAUGGGCACAGAGCUUCCUAGGGUGCUGAGGGUCUCUCGGCCCCCACUGGGGUCACCCCGGGAGCGCCCGAGUUCUGGCUAUGAUUUUGGUGGACCUGUUUCCCCUCCACUCCCCUACCCCCGCUGCCAUUGCCGCGCUUUUGCUUGUGCAGGUGCUUCCUCCGGGAGCACACGCCUAUGGCACCUCUUGUGGUCCGCAGGAGGAAUGACCCCUAAGAUCCUCAGAGCCACCCCCGCCACUCCUUACAAGCAGAAUCCCAGCCUUUCUCUACUAGCAGCAAUGCAAUGAUCCAAGACAUUUCGGAGGGACUAAGAGAGAACUGUGGGAGCAGAAACACAGGAGGAAAACAACUGCCUGAUCACGUGGGUCGAUGGGGAUAGGCUUGGGGACGCAGACUAAGCGAUCACCCUGGUGCAAUAGCAAUACUACGGGGAAUCGUUCUGGAGCAGUGACACAGGUAAAGCCCAGAGGAACUGCGCGUCGGCUACGGGAGGGGGUGGGGGAGGAGCAGGGAAAGAACGUGAAUCUUGUAACCCUGGAAAAAUAUUCCAAACUUCGAAAAAGAAUCCCAGCCUUUGUCCAGCUCUAGCCAUAGCCUGUGUUCUCGGACCCUCAGCCCCACCCGAUGUCCCUCCUCAGUGCCCCCGCCCCGUGAUGUCCCGAUACUGUGACUCUCAAGAACAGGAAGUGAUGGGGCAAGAGCCGAGACACAGGCUUGCGCAGAGAACAGAAGGGCCGGCCUAAGGCUUAUGCGCAUGCUCCCGUAGCUCCAACAUAUUUACUGACCGCCUCUAAGGCGGAGCGAGCUCCUUGUGAGGCGCAGACCAGGUGCAAGGGGGCGGGACACACCAAGGGAAAUGGGGUGCGAGCGUGUCUUCUCCUAGCACGCAGCCAAUGGGGAAAGGAGGGCUGGACCUCUUUUGAAACAAGCUGGUGAAGUGAAUGAAAGGAAGCCGGUUUCCCGUGGGAACGUCUCAUUCUGCGGAAGGGGAAAUGAGAAGGUGACAUUGCUGUCAUGUUCUCUGCAACAGGCCGGGAGAAAUUUGGAAUUUCAUUUUAAUUUGGGGACUUUCUUACUUUGACUUUAAAAUUGUUUGGAAAUGGAGGUUUUCCUGAAAGAACUUUUAGCAGUCGGUUCGUCCACGGUAAUCUGCAGUGUGCCCAGCAGGCAGCUUUACGAUGUGAUUUUGACUUCCUGUUAGCUGGUAUUUCCUGGGGCUCCCUUCCACGGUGACAAACCUCCACGUGCCUGUAUGGGAGUGCUUUUUCUUUUAGAUUUCUAGAAUUUAGGCCGUGUCUGUUUUUCAAUGUUGCUUUAAACUGUGCAACUGCUUUGGCAUUGGUGGGCAAAUUCGGUUCUUGGCAAGGACGGCUUCCCUUGGGACUUGCUACAAGUGGAUUUUUAUAGCCACUAUAAGCCAUCUUUACAAGCCAGCAAAGGAGCCACCCUUUUCCUCGUGUUUGAAGUACUUGUAGAAUGUAAUUUCUAAGCAAAGACAGAAUGUUCCAGUAAGUUCCAGCCUACUGAACAUCUGCUAUGGCUGAGAGCACAACUGAGUCCCAUAGGUGCUUGUGAGCCAAUAGCAGAGGAGUCCAACCAGUUCCUAUUGGAGAAUGGGUCAUGGGGUUUCCAGGCCUUCUUUUCCAGCAAUGAAAGUGUUUGAGAACCUGUCUAGGACAGAAGAGACUUCUACAAAAGAAGAUGACAGACCCUGGCAGAGAACUACUAUGGUGGACUUAUUUCAAAAGAGCAUUAGUAAGCAUAUGCAUUUCUGUUCUCCAAGGAGGCCUCUAGUUUUCCAAAAAUGCCAAGUCACCCUGAGCUAGGAGAAGAGGAUGCCCAACUUGCCCUAUAAGGAAUAAAAUAUAGGUAGAUGAUUGUGAUGUGUUAGAACCUCAUGCCAAGAUGGUGAGCCCAUAGUCGCCAGCCAAUGGUGAACUGGGAGAGUGGUGGCAUAAGAGGCAUAGCAUUAGGGUCCAUAUAAGCAACUGCUUACCUGCUGCCCAGUUGCACUGCCAUAUUGAGAGGGUGCCCUUUCUCAUGAGAAAGAUUAAACUUGCCCCUGCUCACCUAGGUGGUCUCUGUUGUCUUUAAGACAUAUGGUCUCAUACGGUUUGUGGAGGCUCGUCCAGGACCUGCAGUGACCAGCAGGAUGUCCCAUCAAAUUUUCACUGGCUGCUCAAAGGCACAACUGAGUGAGUCCUUCUGACCCAGGAGACCCAAGGCAGAGACUGAAAAGGGGAGCAGACACUUGGGUAGUUGGAUCUGGACCUGGGAAGAGAGGCUACUUGGUGACAUCAGGUCUCAAAUUUGUGCACAAGCCCAGCUCCAGUCACUCACCCAGCAAGCCUCUCCAGAACAGAAAGCUGCAGUCCAGAAUGAGUCCAGGAAAAGGUCACUGCCUCCAAGAAUCUCCCUUAAGCUCAGUUAAUCAACACAGAAUGAAUCCAGGAAAGAGUAGACAGACCAUUUGGGGUCCUGCCUUUUAUACCCCUUUUCCCACAUCACUUCCUGUCUCUCCCCUCUUCACAGGAACCAAUCAGGGCCUUUCAAUUUGCCAAGCACUUGGGGGUAAGAAGGGGGUUGUGCUUGUGGCCUUUGGAGGUGUGAGCUUUCUCUACUAAGUGAUUAGUGAACUCUCUUACUUAAUAAUUGCCCAAGUUCUAAGUAGGGUGUAUGGGGUGCUCAGGGAGGGGUAGUAUCUCUGGUAUGGAGGGCUUGUCGUGCCCUCUUAGGGCAGCUCUCCAGCCUCUGACCCUCACCUGACACCCAGCUCUCACUUGUGGCUCCCAGUAGCUGUUAGCAUGCGGCAGCGGCCACACCCCGGGCAACGGCUUCGACAGGCUGGAUAAACCUUGUGAGGGUAGCCAUAGGGGCAUAGACCGCUGGUGAACAAAGGCUUUGCUCACCCAGCAUGUGAAGACUGCUUCGGCUGAACAGACGGAAGAAACCAAUAAGAAGGUUCAAUGGCUGAGAUGGCGACGCAGCAAGGCACUGUGGAGUGCUUAGGGCGUGUUGGAGCACAAAGGACAACACGGCCAUCCAAAGCAGCUGAGGAAGUCUCCAGGUGUAACGAUUUUUCAUGCCAUUGGACCCAGGCUUCCAACGCCGAGAGAGUGGGACUGUCUCUGUGCAUUGACUUUUCCACUUAAAUCUCCUUCACGCACAAGUGUCUUUGUGCACACUCAUCUAUACACCAUAGAUGAAAACGCACAAAGACAAUUGUCAUCCUCAGUUACCGAGAGACUACUACUGCUAAGUAGGGGCACUUUGUUUCUUGAUUUGAUUAAGUUAAAGGUUGUUGACUGAUUACACUAAAAAUAAACUGAGUCUAAUUCUCUUCA